CCAGAUACUUCACCUCUUGUUCCAUCUACUUACACUUAAGAACCUCAACCAAAUUCAGACUCAUCUACUGAUUGUCCUAAUUCUCCAUCUCAUUCUUCCAACAGAACACACAUAUCUCUUCUAUAUUUUCACCAAGAUAUUCUACCACCUCUAAUAUACCUUUUCCCGAUUUGUCCUCCCCUAACUCUGAAUCUAUGAUGGAUGUGCUUAUUAGAAAAUCCUCCAGCCCCAUUGUCACGACCCAAAAUCUCACCACAGGCGUCGUGAUGGCACUUAGUCUCUAAGACUAGGUAAGCCAAUUACAAUUACAUUUAAAGCCAUAUUUUUUAAACAUAUAAUUUAAUACAAGCGUCAAAACCAACAACGGAAAUAUUUAAACAACAUCCCAAGACUGGUAAUACUGAGUCACGAACUCUAACUGAAUACAUAAAAUGAUCUCAAGGAUCGAAUACUCAAUACUGUUUGAUUAAUAAUUAUCAGUAAAAUAAAAUGGAAAGACUCCAAGGGGCUGUGACGAAUAAGCAGCUCUACCUUGAAUCCUUGCGAUCACACUCUAACUCUGUCCGAAUUCGAUAUCUCUAAUACCUGGCUCUGCACAAAAAUAUACAGAAGUUUAGUAUGAGUACACCAUAGUCGAUACCCAGUAAGUAUCAAGACUAACCUUAGUGGAGUAGUGACGAGGUACAGUCGAGACACUCACUAGUCUAAUAACCUGUGCAAUAUGGCAUACAAAAAUAAUAGGAAAUAAAUAACAAUGAUGACAACAAUAAUCAAUCGGUGAUAUAUAUAUCAGGGCAACAAGAAUACCAUAAAUAUUGCUCAACAAAUAAUGAAUACAAGUACAACCAAUUAAUCAAGUCCUUCAAGUAUAAAUCUUUCGCCUAUAUAUUUUUUAAAUAAUAAUCUUCAGGAUAUGAUACUCUCCAAUAAAUAUAUUUCGAAUAUAAUCCCUUCAAAUAAAUAUCUUUCAAAUAUAAUUCUUUCAAAUAAAUCUCUUUCAAAUAUAAUUCCUUCAAAUAAAUAUCUUUCAAAUAUAAUUCUUUCAAAUAAAUCUCUUUCAAAUAUAAUUCCUUCAAAUAAAUAUCUUUCAAAUAUAAUUCCUUCAAAUAAAUAUCUUUCAAAUAUAAUUCUUUAAAAUAAAUCUCUUUCAAAUAUAAUUCCUUCAAAUAAAUAUCUUUCGAAUAAAAGUCACCAUGUGACACCUCAUUUCAAAAUCAUAAAAAUACGGGUCUCAACCCACUUUCAUAUUUUUACGGCACCUCGUGCCAGUUUCUCGAUCACAACUGCACAGACAACUCACGUACCAAUAUCAUCAUCAUUUACUCACGGCAUCUCGUGCCCACAUUUCAUAUCACAACUGCACAGACAGUUCACGUGCCAAUAUCAUCAUUAUUUACUCACGACACCUCGUGCCCACAUUUCAUUUCAUAAUCCGCUUGGCAAUAGCCACAGGCUCUAAAUUUCAAGAUAAAUCAGACUAUUAUCAAUUUACCAACAACAAGGCAAAUUGCACAAGAUAUAAAAAUAAACAUAAGAAAAAUCACAACAUCACAUGAAAAUUACCAACGCAAUAACCCCACAUCAUCACAUAAAAAUUACCAAUACAAUAACUCCACAUCAUCACGUAUCAUUCCUGACAAUAGCCACCAUUAUCUCUUCUAUAGUCACCUUUAUCACUCAUAUAAUAGCCUCCCUUAUCCCUCCGCGCUGACAAUAUCAAUAGCCACCCUUAUCGCUUCUAUAGCCACCCUUAUCACUCCGCCCAGACAAUAUCCCAAUACACAUAACCAUAGUGAAAUGCCACCCUUAUACCCACAUAAUAUCAACAGUGAAACGCCACCCUUAUAUCCUCAAAUCACACAACAAUUUACACGGAAUAUUAUCACGACAACACAAUACAAUCAAUUCCUAUCACAAUUUGCCCAACAACCACAAACAAUUCCAAUGAUAUAAUAAAAUCAAUAAAUUUCUCAAAAAUAGCCCAAGGCUCCACACAACAUAUAUAAAACCUCAAAAACAAUCAACAGAGAUAGAAAAUACUCAGUAUAGGGCAACACCUUCAUUAACCCAAAUUCUUGAUAAUUAUAUUAAUGCCUCAGUUUAAACUUAGUUCAUUAAUUAUUUGCAGAUGAAAAAUCCAUAAUAUAAUUAUUUUCAGGAAAUAUCAAAUCAACAAGCUCACGAAAUUCACAUAAAUAUUCAAGUAACAAUCAUAUCAAAUUGUCAUAUAAAAACAAAUUUAACAAACGAGGAUUGAGGUAUGGCAAGUAGAUGAUUUAAUAAUUGCCAACAAUUGUCCAAUUUACUAUACAAUAAUGCCUAAGACUUUAACCCAAUAAAUUUUGCACAUAUAAGCCCUAAAACGUACUCGUCACCUCGCGUACACAACUUUUCACAUUUCACAAAUGGCACAUAAGACUCGAUGCCUAAUGAGAAAAUCCCCCACUCAAGGUUAGGCAAGAUACUUACCUUUUUGAAGUUAUGCCGAUAUUCUAAAAUCAUCUCCUUGCUUGAAUUGACCUCCGGACAGCUCAAAAUCUAUUCAGAUUAAUUGUAUAACUUUGUUAAAAUUCAUCGGAAACAAUUUCGGAUAAUAAAACGUCGACUUAAAAUUUUAUUCUAAAAAGUCAAUCAAAAGUCAAUGCGUGACCCGCCUGUCAGAACCCGACAUAAGUUUUAUGAAAUUUGAACACCCAUUCCGAUUUGAGUUCAACCAUACCAAUUUUAUCGAAUUCCAAUAACAAUUCGUCCUCCAAAUCUUGAAUUUUUAUUUUUGAAAAGUUUUAUAAAAAUCCCAAUUUCCUCCAUUAAAACUCGAAUUAAACGAUGAAUAUAGCCAUGGAUUUAUUAAAUAUAAUCAUUCUUGGAUGUAGAACACUUACCCCCAGUCAAAGUCGUGAAGGAAUCCUCAAAAUCGCCCAAGAAUCGAGCUCCAAAAAAACCCAAUCGAAAUGAAAAAAUGAUUGAUUUUCGACCCCCUUAUGUUUCUGUCCAUUUUCGCUUCUACGGACGAAUAUGCCGCAUCUGCGGUCUCGCUUUUGCAAGAAAAACUCGCAUUUGCGAUCCUCACUGCACAACCCAAGCUCGCACCUGUGAAGCCAUUUUCGCUUCUGCAAUGGUUGCUUCUGCAAUGGCCAGGCGCAUCUGCGCAGAAAUUGCCGCUACUGCGGUCUUCUUCAUCAGCUUCUUCCCAGGUCGCUUUUGCAUUGCAAAUCCUCACUUCUACGAGGUCGCUUCUGUGACCAAAUUCUCGCAGAAGCGGUCACAUCAGUUGCUGUCUAGAACAGCAGAAUUCCAGCAGCUUUCUUCAAGUCCGAGUUGAUCCGUUAACCUUCCAAAAUCCACCUGAGCCCCCCAGGACUUUAACCAAAUAUACCAACAUGUCCCAAAAUACAAUACGAACUUAGUAGAGGCUUCAAACCACGUCAAACAACGCCGAAAUUAUGAAUCGNNNNNNNNNNNNNNNNNNNNNNNNNNNNNNNNNNNNNNNNNNNNNNNNNNNNNNNNNNNNNNNNNNNNNNNNNNNNNNNNNNNNNNNNNNNNACUCUCCUAAAAUCUUCUAUUUUUCAACUUUUGCCAAAAUGCGUCGAAUUGUCCUACAGACCUCCAAAUCCAUAUCCGGACACACGCCUAAGUCCGAAAUCACCAUACGAAGCUGUUGACAUCAUUUAAAUUCCAUUUCAGAGUCAUUUGCUCAAAAGUCAAACUUCGGUCAACUCUUUUCAUUUCAAGCUUCAAAAUGAGAAUUGUUCUUUUAAUUUAAUUUCGAAUCUUCCGAAAAUCAAACUCGACCACACCCGCGGGUCAUAAUACAUAUUAUGAAACUGCUCGAGACCUUUAGUCGCUGAACGGGGUGUAAAUUCUUAAAACGAUAAGUCGGGUCGUUACAUUCUCCCCUUCUUAAACAUACGUUCGUCCUCGAACGUGCCAUAAAUUUUUCUGAGGACUUAAUUUACUGAAUGUAUUUACUGCACACAUACUCGCGGGUGAUACUAUUUCACUGCAAACUUUACAUGGGCUCGACAACACCAUCUCAGUUGAGAUUAUUUCUUUUAUCCAUAUUUAUGCACUUUAAAACCAAUUCCUUAUACUCCAAACAUUUUCAAAAGGCCUUAUUAUCACAUCAACGCAUGGUAUUAAUUUCACCCGGCUAUAGAAACUAGUGCCUACGUACACAUUAUUAUAUGUAUGCCCCUAACCACAUAUCUGGUCAUAAUAGCUGUUCAUAAUUAAUUUCAACAUCCUCAAUUAAUCUCAUAUUAACCAAAAUCUCUUUUCAAGUUUUUGUAACACUGAUAGCAACACGCAAGGCAUGAAGACCUCAUAAUUAUUUAUCUGAAUUAACAAGUCGCAUUUAACGCCACCUGAACACUCACCUUAUAGGCUAAAACUCAAUGUUUAUAGCACGAAUAUGGAUAAAUAUGCACAGAAACAUAUUAAAGAAUUAUCAAAUAAGCUUCUCGAAGAUAAGUACAGACGACUCCGUACCGAUCCGCAAGACUCGUUCGUGACUCGUAGAACCUAUGAACCUAGAGCUCUGAUACCAACUUGUCAUGGCCCAAAAUCCCACCACAAGCAUCGUGAUGGCACUUAGUCUCUAAGACUAGGUAAGGCGAUUACAAUUACAUUUAAAGCCAUUUUUUAAAAACAUAUAAUUUAAUACAAGCGUCAAAACAAACAGCGGAAAUACUUAAACAACCUCCCAAGAUUGGUAAUACUAAGUCACGAACUCUAACUGAAUACAUGAAAUGAUGCCAAGGAUCGAAUACUCAAUACUGUUUGAUUAAUAAUUAACAGUACAAUAAAAUAGAAAGAUUCCAAGUGUCACGGCCCAAUUCUCCCUCCGUAAGAUGUCGUGACGGCACCUAGUCUCUAUGACUAGGUAAGCCUAACAAAAAUGGGAAAAUAACAAAAAUGGAAGUGAAACUUAACAACUAACUGAAACUGAUAACUAAAUAACUAGUAACAAUUUCGCUCGGCAUGUACAAUAACCAACACUCUAGCAAUGCACAGUAUUCCCAAAACCCUGAACAUCAUAAGUCACAAGCUAUAGAAGUAAACUAGUAUCUCUAUACACCAGAUUCUAAUAAAAGAAGUACAGAAGGUAAAUGACAUAGGAGAGAAUAGAGGGGGACUCCGAGAUCUGCGGACGCGACAGAUGUACCUUGAAGAGUAGCAUGAGUACACCACAACGGUACCUAGUAAGUGCCAAGCCUAACCUCGGUAGAGUAGUGACGAGGUAAGGUCAGGCCCACUGGUAUAUAAUAAAUAAAGCAGGAGAUUACAACAGUAUAAUAAGAGAUUGGAAUUUAACAAAAAGAAAACACAGUGAAAUAACAGUACAACACACAGGGAUAAACAGUAGGAAAUCUCCCGAGAUACCGUCUCGUGGUCCCAAAAUAAAUAUGCAGGGAGAACGCCCGAGGUACCGCCUCGUAGUCUCAAAAGUAAAUAUGCAGGGAGAACUCCCGAGGUACCGCCUCGUAGUCGCAAAAGUAAAUGUACAGGGAGAACUCCCGAGGUACCGCCUCGUAGUCUCAAAAGUAAAUGGGCAGGGAGAACUCCCGAGGAACCGCCUAGUAGUCUCAAAAGUAAACACACAGCUCAAACCGUUAAAUACCACAAUUAACAACAAGAAUUCUACAGUUAAGACUGAUAAAGAACAAGGAAAAAUAGGUAAAUCAACUAGGCAUGCUGCACAAAGUUCAAAUAAGCAGUUAAAGCCCGUAGACAUACGAUAUUAGACUAAACAGGAUAACCAUGCAUAUUGGUAUAACUCAAUUAAGAAUGAAAAUAGGUUACUACUCAGUAAAAAUCGGGUUUUACAACAAAUAGCCAGUGUACGCACUCGUCACCUCACGUACACGGCGCUCACAUAUCACAUCAGUACCAAAUCCUAAGGGGAUUUCCUCCCCCACAAGGUUAGGCAAGCCACUUACCUCGAACCAAGCUCAAUUAAUCCGUAAUAAUGCCUUUUCCUUGAUUAUCCGACUCUGAAUGGCCCAAAUCUAGCCAAACACAAUUACAUAUCAUGAAUAAAAUUACGAGAAACUAAUUUAAAUAAUAAAUCUAUGACUUUAGCAAAGAAUCGAAAAUUCGGCCGAAAGAGUCGACCCUGGCCCGCGUCUCGGAAUCGGAUAAAAGUCAUAAAAUAUGAACACCCAAUCAACCACGAGUUCACCCAUACAAAAAUUACCAAUUUUCGACAUCAACUCGACCCUCAAAUCUUCAAAUCAAACUCUUCGAAUAAUUCCACCUUAAAUACACACUAACUAGGUGAAAAAAUAAAUGGGGAAGCAAGAUUAUUGAUCAAAAACAAGCAAAAGGGACUUACCUCACGAAAUCCCUCGAAAAUGCUCUCAAGAAAUCGUUAAACCCGAGAUCAAAAUGUUUAAAAUGAGCAAAAAUUGCUAACCCUUGCAUUUAAGUGUUCUGUCUAGAAAUUUCGCUUCUGCGGGCUUCUGGUAGCACCUGCGACGCCGCACCUGUGGAAUUUCCUUCGCAGGUGCAGAAAUGACUUAAGAGGGCUGGGUCUGCUUCUGCGAAAAAAGGGUCGCACCUGCGAGUGCGCGCCUGCGGACUAAUGUCCGCUUCUGCGGUCUUCUCCGCGCCUACGGUUCCUUAAGCGCAUAUAUGGGCAUCGCAGAUGCGAUAUUUCCCCUCGCACCUGCGACCCCUUGACCACCAUCCCAAAUCGGCUUCUACACUUGGUCUCCCCAUCGCAGGUGCGAAAACACCAGAAAACUUAAGCCAUUCCAACAAGUCCAAAAAUGAUCCAUUAACCACCCGAAAUCAACCCAAGGCCCCCGGGACCUCAACCAAACAUACCAACAAGUCCUAAAACACCAUACAAACCUAGUCGAGCCCUCAAAACACGUCAAACAAUAACAAAAACACGAAUCACCCUCCAAUCCAAACUUAAUGAACUUGAAACUUCAAAUUUCUACAACUGAUGUCGAAACCUAUCAAACCACGUCCGAUUGACCUCAAAUUUUGCACAAAAGUCAUAUUUAACAUUACGGACCUACUCCAACUUUCGAAAUCGGAAUCCGACCCCGAUAUCAAAAAGUCCACUUCCAGUCAAAAUCUCCAAAAAAUCGACGUUCGCCAUUUCAAGCCUAAAUCAGCUACAGACCUCAAAUUCACAGUCCGGACACGCUGCUAAGUCCAAAAUCACCCAACGGAGCUAACGGAAUUGACGAAACUCCAUUCUGGAGUCGUCUUCAUGCAGUUCCGACUACGAUCAAAAUCCUAAGACUUAAGCUUCCGUUUUAGGGACUGCGUGUCUCAAAACACUCCAAAACCAAAAGUAAGACUUCCCGGCAAGUCACAUACACAGAAACAGAUACGGGAAAAGCAGAAAAUAGGGUAUCGGGGCUAUUACUCUCAAAACGACCGGCCGGGUCGUUACAUCCUCCCCCUCUUAAAAUAACCGUUCGUCCUCGAACGAGCACAGAGACAUACCUGAAGUGGUGAAAAGAUGAGGAUAGCGGCUAUGCAUAUCAUGCUUGGUCUCCCAAGUUGCCUCCUCGGCCAGCUGACCCCUCUACUGAAACUUCACGGAAGCAAUAUUCUUUGACCUCAGCUUUCGCACCUGCCUGUCCAAAAUGGCCACCGGCUCCUCAACAUAAGAUAAAUCCUUGUCCAACUGGACUGAGUUAAAAUCCAACACAUGAGACGGAUCAUCGUGAUACUUCCGGAGCAUAGAAACAUAGAAUACUAGGUAAACCCCUGCUAGACUAGGAGGCAAGGCAAGCUCAUAAGCAACCUCCCCAACACGCCGCAACACCUCGAAUGGGCCGAUAAACCUUGGGCUCUGCUUGCCCUUCUUUCCGAACCUCAUAACACCCUUCACAGGUGACACCCGGAGCAGGACCUGCUCUCCAACCAUGAAUGCAACAUCGUGAACCUUCCGAUCUGCAUAACUCUUCUGUCUGGACUGGGCUGUGCGAAGUCGAUCCAGAAUCUCCUUAACCUUCUCCAAAGCAUCCUGAACCAAGUCUGUGCCCAAUAACCUAGCCUCGCCCGGCUCGAACCAACCCACUAGAGACUGGCACUGCCUCCCAUAUAAGGCCUCAUAGGGUGCCAUCUGAAUGCUCGACCGAGAACUGUUAUUGUAAGCAAACUCCGCAAGUGGCAAGAACUGAUCCCAAGCACCCCCAAAAUCUAUCACACAAGCACGGAGCAUAUCCUCCAUUAUCUGAAUAGUGCGCUCGGACUGUCUGUCCGUCUGAGGGUGAAAUGUUAUGCUCAACUCAACCCGAGUACCCAACUCAUGCUGUACAGCCCUCCAGAACCGUGAUGUAAACUGCGUAUCCCGAUCAGAAAUGAUAGAUACCGGUACGCCAUGAAGUCUGACAAUCUUGCGGAUAUAAAUUCGAGCCAAUUGCUCAGAAGAAUAGGUAGUCAUCACAGGAAUGAAAUGGGCUGACUUGGUCAGCCUAUCCACAAUCACCCAAAUUGCAUCAAACUUCCGCUGAGUCCGUGGAAGCCGAACAACGAAAUCCAGAGUGAUCUGCUCCCAUUUACACUCCGGAAUCUUUAACAUCUGAAGCAAUCCACCUGGCCGUUGAUGCUCAUACUUUACUUGCUGGCAAUUCAGACACCUAUCUACAUAUUCCACUAUGUCCUUCUUCGUUCUCCUCCACCAGUAAUGCUGCCUCAAAUCCUAAUACAUCUUCGCGGCUCCCAGAUUAAUGGAGUACCGCAAACUGUGAGCCUCCUGGAGAAUCAACUCACACAGCCCAUCUACAUUGGGCACACAUAGCCUGCAUCGCAUCCUCAGUGCACCAUCAUCUCCAAUAGAGACCUCCUUUGCAUCACCGUGUUGAACCGUGUCCUUAAGCACAAGCAGAUGUGGGUCAUCAUACUGACACUCCCUAAUACGAUCAUAAAGAGAAGACCGAGAGACCAUACAAGCCAAUACUUAACUCGGCUUAGAAAUAUCCAAUCUAACAAACUGGUUGGCUAAGGCCUGAACAUCCAACUCCAAUGGCCUCUCUAUUGUUGGUAGAUAUGCUAAGCUCCCCAAACGCUUCACCCGGCGAUUGAAAGCAUCGGCCACCACAUUGGCCUUCCCGGGAUAGUACAAAAUAGUGAUAUCAUAAUCUUUAAGCAACUCCAACCACCUACGCUGACGCAAGUUAAGAUCCUUCUGUUUGAAUAGAUGCUGCAAACUCCAGUGAUCGGUGUAGAUCUCACAAGGGACACCGUACAAAUAGGGCCGCAAAAUCUUUAAGACAUGAACAAUAGUUGCUAACUCAAGGUCAUGGAAAUGAUAGUUCUUUUCAUGCACCUUCAGCUGUCUGGACGCGUAGGCAAUCACCCUACCGUCCUGCAUCAACACCACACCUAGACCAAUCCGUGAGGCAUCACAAUAUAUAGUAUAAGACCCCAAACCUAUAGGCAAUACCAAUACUGGGGCUGUAGUCAAAGCCGUCUUGAACUUCUGAAAGCUCUCCUCACACUCCUCUGUCUACCUGAACNNNNNNNNNNNNNNNNNNNNNNNNNNNNNNNNNNNNNNNNNNNNNNNNNNNNNNNNNNNNNNNNNNNNNNNNNNNNNNNNNNNNNNNNNNNNNNNNNNNNNNNNNNNNNNNNNNNNNNNNNNNNNNNNNNNNNNNNNNNNNNNNNNNNNNNNNNNNNNNNNNNNNNNNAAGGUCUGAAGCACAGUCAUCGGGUGGUGCUCAUGAUCCUCCCGAGUCCGGGAGUACACCAGAAUGACGUCAAUAAACACAAUGACGAAAGAGUCAAGAUAGGGCCGGAACACACUGUGCAUCAAGUGCAUAAAAGUUGUUGGGGCAUUGGUCAGCCCAAAAGACAUCACGAGGAACUCGUAGUGACCAUACCGAAUCCUGAAAGCAGUCUUCGGGAUAUCUGGCUCCCGAAUCUUCAACUGAUGAUAGCCUGAACGUAAGUCAAUCUUGGAAAACACUCUGGCACCCUGUAACUGAUCAAAUAAGUCAUCAAUACGAGGCAAUGGAUACCUAUUUUUCACUGUGACUUUGUUCAGCUGGCGAUAACCAAUGCACAUAUGCAUAGAACCAUCCUUCUUCUUCACAAACAAGACAGGAGCACCCCAAGGUGACACACUAGGCCGAGUGAAGCCCUUAUCAAGCAACUCCUGUAACUGCUCCUUUAACUCCCUCAACUCAAGAUGAGCCACACGAUAUGGAGGAAUAGAGAUAGGCUGAGUGCCCGGAAACAAAUCAAUGCCAAAGUCAAUAUCUCUGUCGGGCGGCAUGCCCGGAAGAUCAGCUGGAAAUACAUCUGGAAAAUCCCUCACUACUGGGACUAACUCAACUGUAGGGGUAUCAAUACUGACAUCUCUCAUAUAAGCUAGAACACGUCACACCCCUUCUCAACCAUUCGUUGUGCUUUAAGAAAUGAAAUAACUCUAUUGGGAGUAUACUCUAAGGUACCUCUCCACUCUAAUCACGGUAAUUCUGGCAUAGCCAGCAUUGCGGUUUUAGCGUGACAAUCAAUAAUAGCAUAAUGGGGCGACAACUAGUCCAUGACCAAAAUAAUAUCAAAGUCUACCAUGCUGAGCAAUAAUAAAUCGGCUCUGGUCUCAAAACCACUAAGAACAACCAACACAACCGAUACACAUAGUCCACAAUAAUAGAAUCUCCCACAGGUAUAGACACAUAAACAGGAGAACUCAAAGAAUCACGGGCUACGUCCAAAUACGGAGCAAAAUAAGAGGACACAUAGGAAUACGUAGAACCUGGGUCAAAUAAAACUGACGCAUCUCUAUGACAGACCGGAACAAUACUUGUAAUGAUAGAGUCAGAAGAAACUGCCUCUGUACGUGUAGGAAGAGCAUAAUAUCUGGCCUGGCCUCCCCCUCUAGGGCGACCUCCACCUUGAGCUGGCUGAGCAGGUGGGGUAGUAGCUGGUGCUGUAAUCAUAGCCUGAGGACCCGGUGGAGCAUGUUGUGCCUAAGAAGUCUGUGGAAGUGCACCCCUCCUAAGUCUAGGGCAAUCCCUCACCAUAUGGCGAGUGUCGCCAUACUCAAAAUAAGCUCUCGGAGGGCGUGACUAGUGUGACUGCUAGGGCCAGGUUUGCUGGACUGACCGCUAAAAGCACCUCGUGCAGGAGGCGCACUAGAUACUGGCGGUGCAUAAUAAGGCUCUUGGGGCCUACAAGGGGUCGGAAUACCACUGGCGGCUGGAAGAGCUGAAUGAACAGGGUGACUCACAUAACCCCUACCAUGGCGAACUGCAGCUGGGGCACGAGUACUACUAUAAGUGCCAGACUCUCGAGACCUCUUAGCCUCUCUCUCCUUCUCUCCCGAGCAAGCAUACCCUCCAAUAUCCUAGCAAUACUCACAACCUGCUGGUAAGAAAUAUCCAUCUCUAACUCCUGGGCCAUGUUAAGCCUGAUACUGGGGUGGAGUCCCUCAAUAAACCGACGAACCCUCUCUCGAGAUAUGACAACCAAGGCUGGUGCAUGUCGGGCCAGAUUACUAAAGCGAAUUGCAUACUCUGAGACUCUGAGGAACAUACCUCCCUNNNNNNNNNNNNNNNNNNNNNNNNNNNNNNNNNNNNNNNNNNNNNNNNNNNNNNNNNNNNNNNNNNNNNNNNNNNNNNNNNNNNNNNNNNNNNNNNNNNNNNNNNNNNNNNNNNNNNNNNNNNNNNNNNNNNNNNNNNNNNNNNNNNNNNNNNNNNNNNNNNNNNNNNNNNNNNNNNNNNNNNNNNNNNNNNNNNNNNNNNNNNNNNNNNNNNNNNNNNNNNNNNNNNNNNNNNNNNNNNNNNNNNNNNNNNNNNNNNNNNNNNNNNNNNNNNNNNNNNNNNNNNNNNNNNNNNUAUGCCCAUACGUAUGAAGAAUGCGGUGACAAUCCUCCAGAAAACACGGGGCAUCCUCUGACGCCAAUCCACUAAAGGUAAGAGGGUGGUACUUCUUGUACCUCUCAAGUCUGAGCUGCUCUGCCUCAGAAACUGUUGCCCUAACCUCGGGCUAAGCUGGAGCUAACGGCUGUAUCGGUGUAAUCUCUGGAACCUGGUCGAUCUGAACCCACUGCUCUGGGGUACCAGUGACGGGAGUCUGUGCUCCUCCCCCGGCAUGAGAUGUGGUAGGAGUAAGUGGAAUCAAUCCAGCCUGAGCCAAGGUGCUGAACAUGCUAAGAAAGUGCCCUAGAGUCUCAUGGAGAGCUGGUGCAGCAACAGAUAUCUCAGGUGUCUUCCCUCCAGCAAGAGCUACUGGGGGCUCCUCUGUAGCAGCUCGUGCGGGUGCUCUGGCUGCACCGCAUGGAAGUCCUUGACCUCUACCCCGGCCCCGGCCCCGGCCUCUCGCGGCUCUAGCAGGGAGCGCGGGUGCUUGGUCAUCAGAUCCACUUAUACGUGUCCUCACUAUCUGUGAGAGAAUAGAAUACAAAAAUUUAGAAUUUCGAAGUCAACAAUUUCGCACGACAAGGAAUCAAAGAAGUGAAUUUUUUUCUAAUAGUUCUAUAGCUUCCUGAAGAUAAAUACAGAUGUCUCUGUACUGAUCUAUGAGACUCUACUAAACUUGCUUGUGACUCACGAUACCUAUGAACCUAGAGCUCUGAUACCAAUUGUCACAACCUAAUUCUCCCUCCGUAAGACGUCAUGACGGCACCUAGUCUCUAUGACUAGGUAAGCCUAACAAAAAUACGGAAAUAAUAAAAAUGGAAGUGAAACUUAACAACUAACUGCAACAGAUAACAAAAUAACUAGUAACAAUGCCACUCGGCAUGUACAAUAACCAACACUCUAGCAAUGCACAGUAUUCCCAAAACCCGGAGCAUCAUAAGUCACAAGUUACAGAAGAAAACUAGUAUCUCUAUACACUAGAGUCUAAUAAAAGAAGUACGGAAGGUAAAUGACAUAGGAGAGAAUAGAGGGGGACUCUGAGGUGUGCAGAUGCGGCAGAUAUACCUUGAAGCCUCCGUACAACAGCAAGCACUCUCAGCUAAUAGCGGGGCUGAUAAGAAGUACCUGGAUCUGCACACAAAACAUGUGCAGAAGAGUAGCAUGAGUACACCACAACGGUACCUAGUAAGUGCCAAGCCUAACCUCGGUAGAGUAGUGACGAUGUCAGGUCAGGCCCACUGGUAUAUAAUAAAUAAAGCAGGAGAAUACAACAGUAUAAUAAGAGACUGGAAUUUAACAAAAGGAAAACACAGCAAAAUAACAGUACAACACACACAGGGAUAAAUAGUAGGAAAUCUCCCGAGAUACCGUCUCGUGGUCCCAAAAUAAAUAUGCAGGGAGAACGCCUGAGGUACCACCUCGUAGUCUCAAAAGUAAAUAUGCAGGGAGAACUCCCGAGGUACCGCCUCGUAGUCUCAAAAGUAAAUGUACAGGGAGAACUCCCGAUGUACUGCCUCAUAGUCUUAAAAGUAAAUAUGCAGGGAUAACUUCUGAGGAACCGCCUCGUAGUCUCAAAAGUAAACACACAGCUCAAACCGAUAAAUACCAUAGUUAACAGCAAGAAUUCUACAUUUAGGACUGAUAAAGAACAAGGAAAAACAGAAAAAUCAACUAGGCAUGCUGCAUAGAGUUCAAAUAAGCAGUUAAAGCCCGUAGACAUACGAUAUUAGACUAAACAUGAUAACCACACAUAUUGGUAUAACUCAAUUAAGAAUGAAAACAGGUUACUACUCAGUAAAAACCGGGUUUUACAACAAAUAGCCAGUGUACGCAAUCAUCACCUCACGUAUACGAUGCUCACAUAUUACAUCAGUACCAAAUCCUAAGGGGAUUUUCCCCACACAAGGUUAGGCAAGCCACUUACCUCGAACCAAGCUCAAUCAAUCUGUAAUAAUGCCUUUUCCUCGAUUAUCUGACUCCAAAUGGACCAAAUCUAGCCAAACACAAUUACAUAUCAUGAAUAAAAUUACGAGAAACUAAUUUAAAUAAUAAAUCUACGACUUUAGCAAAGAAUCGAAAAUUCGGCCCAAAACAUCGACACGGACCCACAUCUCAGAAUCGGGUAAAAGUCACAAAAUACGAACACCCAAUCAACCACGAGUUCACCCAUACAAAAAUUGCCAAUUUUUGACAUCAACUCGAUCCUCAAAUCCUCAAAUUAAACUCUCUAAAUUCCUAGCCUCAAACUCUCAAAUUCCACCUUAAAUACACACUAACUAGGUGGAAAAAUAAAUGGGAAAGCAAGAUUAUUGAUCAAAAAUAAGCACAAGGGACUUACCUCACGAAAUCCAUCGAAAAUGCUCUCAAGAAAUCGCCAAACCUGAGCUCAAAAUGUUUAAAAUGAGCAAAAAUCGCGAACCCUUGCAUUUAACUGUUCUGUCCAGAAAUUUCGCUUCUGUGGGCUUCCAGUCGUGCCUGCGAUACCGCACCAGUGGAAUUUCCUUCGCAGGUGCGGAAAUGACUUAAGAGGGCUGGGUCUGCUUCUACAGAAAAAGGGUCAAACCUGCGAGUGCGCGCCUGCAGACUAUUAUCCGCUUCUACGGUCUUCUCCGCGCUUGCGGUUCCUUAAGCGCAUUUGUGGGCAUCGUAGAUGCGGUAUUUCCCCUCGCACCUACGACCCCCUGACCACCAUCCCAAUUCCGCUUCUGCGCUUGGCCUUACGCACGUGCAAUCCCGCACCUAUUUUCAGAAAACUUCAGCCAUUCCAACAAGUCCGAAAAUGAUUCGUUAACCACUCGAAAUCAACCCGAGGCCCACGGGACCUCAACCAAACAUACCAACAAGUCCUAAAGAACCAUACAAACCUAGACGGGCCCUCAAAACACGUCAAAUAACAACCAAAACACGAAUCACCCUCCAAUCCAAACUUAAUGAACUUGAAACUUCAAAUUUCUACAACCGAUGUCGAAACCUAUCAAACCAUGUCCGAUUGACCUAAAAUUUUGCACAAUUCAUAUUCAACAUUACGGACCUACUCCAACUUCCGGAAUCGGAAUCCGACCCCGAUAUCAAAAAGUCCACUUCCGGUCAAAAUCUCCAAAAAUUUGACUUUUGCCAUUUCAAGCCUAAAUCAGCUACAGACCUCAAAUUCAUAGUCCGGACAUGCUCCUAAGUCCGAAAUUACCUAACGGAGCUAACAGAACCGACGUAACUCCAUUCCGGUGUCGUCUUCACACAGUUCUGACGAUCAAAAUCCUAAGACUUAAGCUUCCGUUUUAAGGACUACGUGUCCCAAAACACUUCGAAACCAAAAAGAAGACAUCCCGGCAAGUCACAUAAGCAUAAACAGAUAAGGGAAAGCAAAAAAAAGGGGAUCGGGGCUAUUACUCUCAAAAUAAUUGGCCGGGUCGUUACACCAAGGAACUGCGACGUCUAAGCAGCUCUACCUUGAAUCCUUGCGAUCACACUAUAACUCUGUCCGAGUCCUAUAUCUCCAAAACCUGGCUCUGCACAAAAAUGUGCAGAAGUGUAGUAUAAGUGCACCACAGUCGGUACCCAGUAAGUAUCAAGACUAACCUCAGUGGAGUAGUGAUGAGGUACAGUCGAGACACUCACUAGUCUAAUAACUUGUGCAAUAUAGUAUACAAAAAUAAUAGAAAACAAAUAACAAUGAUGGAAACAAUAAUCAACCAGUGAUAUACACAGUAGGGCAACAAGAACACCGUAAAUAUUGCUCAACAAAUAAUGAAUACAAGUACAACCAAUUAAUCAAGUCCUUCAAAUAUAAAUCUUUUGCCUAUAUAUUUUUCAAAUAAUAAUCUUCAAGAUAUGAUACUCUCCAAUAAAUAUAUUUCGAAUAUACUCCCUUCAAAUAAAUAUCUUUCAAAUAUAAUUCUUUCAAAUAAAUCUCUUUCAAAUAUAAUUCCUUCAAAUAAAUAUCUUUCGAAUAAAAGUCACCUGUGAUACCUCAUUUCAAAAUCAUAAAAAUACGGGUCUCAGCCCACUUUCAUAUUUCCACGACACCUUGUGCCAAUUUCUCUAUCACAACCGCACGGACAACUCAUGUGCCAAUAUCAUCAUCAUUUACUCACGACACCUCGUGCCCACAUUUCAUAUCACAACUGCACGAAUAAUUCACGUGCCAAUAUCAUUAUUAUUUACUCACAGCAUCCCGUGCCCACAUUUUAUUUCAUAAUCCGCCUGGCAAUAGCCAUAGGCUCUUGAUUUCAACAUAGAUCAGACUAUUAUCAAUUUACCAACAACAAGGCAAAUUGCACAAGAUAUAAAAAUAAACACAAGAAAAAUCACAACAUCACAAGAAAAUUACCAACGCAAUAACCCCACAUCACACAUAAGAAUUACCAACACAAUAACUCCACAUCAUCACGUAUCAUCCCUAACAAUAGACAGCCUUAUCUCUCCUAUAGCCACCCUUAUCACUCCUAUAAUAGCCACCCUUAUCACUCUGCCCAGACAAUAUCCUAACAUACAUAACCACAGUGAAAUGCCACCCUUAUAUCCUCAUAAUAAUAACUCAAAUCACACAACAAUUUACACAGAAAAUUAUCACGACUACACAGCACAAUCAAUUCAUAUCACAAUUUGUCCAACAAACACAACCAAUUCCAAUGAUAUAGUAAAAUUAAUAAAUUUCUCAAAAAUAGCCCAAGGCUCCACACAACGUAUAUAAAACCUCAAAAACAAUCAACAGAGAUAGAAAAUACUCAAUAUAGGGCAACACCUUCAUUAAUUCAAAUUCUUGAUAAUUAUAUUAACGCCUCAGUUUAAACUUAGUUCAUUAAUUAUUUGCAGAUGAAAAAUCCAUAAUAUAAUUAUUUCUAGGAAAUAUCAAAUCAACAAACUCACGGAAUUCACAUAAAUAUUCAAGUAACAAUCACAUCAAAUUUUCAUAUUAAAAAGAAUUCAACAAACGAGGAUUGAGGCAUGACAAGUAGAUGAUUUAAUAAAUGCCAAUAAUUAUCCAAUUUACUACACAAUAAUGCCUAAGACUUUAACACAAUAAAUUUUGCACAUAUAAGCUCGAGUACGUACUCGUCACCUCGCGUACACGGCUUUUCAUAUUUCACAAAUGGCACACAAGACUCGAUGCCUAAGGGGUAAUUCCCCCAUUCAAGGUUAGACAAGAUACUUACCUUUUUGAAGUUAUGACGAUAUUUCAAAAUUAUCUUUUUCCUUGAAUUGACCUCUGGAUAGCUCAAAUCUAUCCAAAUUAAUUAUAUAACUUCAUUAAAAUUCAUCAGAAAUAAUUCCGGAUAAUAAAACGUCGACUUAAAAUUUUAUUCUAAAAAGUCAACCAAAAGUCAACGCGGGACCCGCCUCUCGAAACCCGACAUAAUAUUCACGAAAUCCGAACACCCAUUCCGAUACGAGUUCAACCAUACCAAUUUUAUCGAAUUCCAAUAACAAAUCGUCCUCCAAAUCUUGAAUUUUUGUUUUUGAAAAGUUUUAUAAAAAUCUCAAUUUUCUCCAUUAAAACUCGAAUUAAACGAUGAAUAUAGCCAUGGAUUUAUGAAAUAUAAUCAUUCUUGGAUGUAGAACACUUACCCCAGUCGAAGUCAUGAAGGAAUCCUCAAAAUCGCCCAAGAACCAAGCUCCAAAAAAUCACAAUCGAAAUGAAGAAAUGACUGAUUUUUAACCCCCUUAUGUUUUUGUCGCUUCUGCGGACGAAUAUGACGCAUCUGCGGUCUCACUUUUGCGAGACAAAAAUCGCAUUUGCGAUUCUCACUGCCCAGCCCAAGCUCUCACCUGUGAAGCCAUUUUCGCUUCUGCGAUGGCCAGGCGCAUCUGCGCUUGCGCAUCUGCGCAGAAAUUGCCGCUUCUGCGGCCUUCUUCAUCAGCUUCUGCUCAAGUUGCUUCUGCGUUGCAAAUCCUCACUUCUGCGACCAAAUUCUUGCAGAAGCUAUCGCAUCAGUUGCUGUCCAGAACAGCAGAAUUCCAGCAGCUUUCUUUAAGUCCGAGUUGAUCCGUUAACCUUCCAAAAUUCACCCGAGGCCCUCAGGACUUUAACCAAAUAUACCAACAUGUCCCAAAAUACAAUACAAACUUAGUUGAGGCUUCAAACUACGUCAAACAAUGCCGAAACUAUGAAUCGCGUAUCGAAUCGAAUUAUGAGUUUUCAAAUCUUCCAACUUCUAUAUUUUGCAGCGAAACGUAUCAAAUCAAUCCGGAAUAACUUCAAAUUUUGCACACAAGUCACAAAUGAUGUAAUGGAACUNNNNNNNNNNNNNNNNNNNNNNNNNNNNNNNNNNNNNNNNNNNNNNNNNNNNNNNNNNNNNNNNNNNNNNNNNNNNNNNNNNNNNNNNNNNNNNNNNNNNNNNNNNNNNNNNNNNNNNNNNNNNNNNNNNNNNNNNNNNNNNNNNNNNNNNNNNNNNNNNNNNNNNNNNNNNNNNNNNNNNNNNNNNNNNNNNNNNNNNNNNNNNNNNNNNNNNNNNNNNNAAUUAUCCUACGGACCUCCAAAUCUAGAUCCGGAUACACGCCUAAGUCCGAAAUCACCAUACGAAGCUGUUGACAUUAUCUAAAUUCUAUUCCGGAGUUGUUUGCUCAAAAGUCAAACUACGGUCAACUCUUUUUAUUUCAAGCUUAAAAAUGAGAAUUGUUCUUUUAAUUUAAUUUCGAAUCUUCCGAAAAUCAAACUCAACCACACCCACUGGUCAUAAUAUAUAUUACGAAACUGCUCGAGACCUUUAGUCACUGAACGGGACAUAAAUUCUUAAAAUGACAAGUCGGGUCAUUACACCCAUGUUACACCAUCUUAUCUCAAGGAUUACAUUUGUAAUAUUGUUCAUCUGACUAAUCGUAGUGGAUCUUGAUUUCUAAGCCCUGUCACCCCAGAUUCAGUGGCUUUUAACGGUUUAUCUCUUUCCAAUCAACAAAUAUUUAACUUUGUGUCAAAUAUCCACGAACUUAUUAAUUAUGCACAGACAACAUAUCAUCCAAGAUGGCAAGAAGCAAUGAAAAAGAAAAUUGAUUCUCUUGAGCUCAAUAAGAUCUGGAAAGUAGUUGAACUACCCCAUGGAAGAAAAGCCUUACCAUGAAAGUAGGUAUACAAAGUUAAACACUAUUCAAAUGGAAGUGUGGAGAGAUUUAAAGCUCGAUUGGUUAUUUGAGGAGAUAUAUAGAAAGAGGGUAUUGAUUUCAAUGAGACAUUUUCACUAGUGGUGAAAAUGACAACCAUCAGGUAUAUUCUAACUACUGCAGUUAAAAAGGGAUGGGGUCUCUACCAAUUGUAUGUAAAUAAUACAUUUUUACAUGGAGAUCUAAAUGAGGAAGUAUACAUGAAGUUCCCAGUUAGGGUAAUGCCUCUUAUUCCUAUUCAUGUCUGCAAAUUAAAGAAGUCUCUUUAUGGCCUUCGACAAGCUUCUUGUUAAUGGUAUGCUAAGCUCACAACUGCUUUUAAUUUUAAGGAAUUCACCCAUUCUAUGAAUGACUAUUCCUUAUUUUUCAAAAAUAAAAAUUCUUCUAUCUCAAUCGUGGCAGUCAAUGUGGAUGAUAUCCUAUUAACGGGAAAUAAUAAUGCUGAAUUGAAUGCAUUAAAGAAAUUUCUGAAUUAAGAGUUCAAACUAGAGGACCUUAGGGACUUACAUUUCUUCCUGGGAAUGGAGGUUCUUCGAGAACCUCAAGGUUUGAUCCUUUUCCAAAGAAAGUUCACACUGGAUCUUUUGUGGGAAUUUGAUGCCCUCCAGCUAUAUUCUUGAGAAAUUUAAUUACUUAACUCACACUAGACCAGACUUGUCUUUCACCAUUCAACACCUGAGCAUGUACAUGCAAGACCAUAGACAAACAUAUCUCGAAGCUACUCAUCGAGUUCUUCGAUAUCUUUUGAAGGAUCCUAGUCUAAGACUUUUUAUGUCAUCUUCAUCAUCCUUUCAACUUCUAGCUUUUUGUGAUUUCGAUUGGGGGACAUGCCCAGACUCUCGAAAAUCAGUCAUUGGUUUCUAUAUUUCACUGGGUACCUCUCCU
rnacentral:lncRNA from 1 species